rnacentral:tRNA from 1 species
AUUACUUUGGCAGAUUAGUGUGUUAAAUUUAGAAUUUAUUUAUGUAUUUAUAAUACAAGUAAUA